AGGAAUCUUCCACAAUGGGCGAAAGCCUGAUGGAGCGACGCCGCGUGAGGGAUGAAGGCCUUAGGGUUGUAAACCUCUAAAAGAGGGACGAUAAUGACGGUACCUCUUGAAUAGCACCGGCUAACUCCGUGCCAGCAGCCGCGGUAAUACGGAGGGUGCAAGCGUUAUCCGGAAUCACUGGGCGUAAAGGGCGCGUAGGCGGUCUGUUAAGUCCGAUGUUAAAUCCCGGGGCUCAACCCCGGAUAAGCGUUGGAUACUGGCAGGCUAGACGGUUGGAGAGGCGAGUGGAAAUACCAGUGUAGCGGUGGAAUGCGUAGAUACUGGUAGGAACACCCAUUGCGAAGGCAGCUCGCUGGACAACACGUGACGCUGAGGCGCGAAAGUGUGGGGAGCAAA
rnacentral:rRNA from 1 species